CAAUAGCGUAUAUUAAAGUUGUUGCAGUUAAAAAGCUCGUAGUUGGAUUUCUGGUGAGAUGGAUUAUGUCUAGGUCGAAAGAUCUUGUUCAUGGUUCGUUUUGCCCUUCUUGUCAGGAACCCGCUGAGAUUCGCGUCUUGUCGGUGGAAUGGCAUCGUUUACUGUGAAAAAAUUAGAGUGUUCAAAGCAGGCAUCGCCGUUGAAUACAUUAGCAUGGAAUAAUAAGAUAAGACUUUGGUGGUCUAUUUUGUUGGUUUGCACGCCAAAGUAAUGAUUAAUAGGGAUAGUUGGGGGUAUUUGUAUUCUAUCGCUAGAGGUGAAAUUCUUAAAUUUAUGGAAGACGAACUACUGCGAAAGCAUUUACCAAGGAUGUUUUCAUUAA
rnacentral:rRNA from 1 species